rnacentral:rRNA from 1 species
GCAGGCUGCAACUCGCCUGCGUGAAGUUGGAAUUGCUAGUAAUCGCGGAUCAGCAUGCCGCGGUGAAUACGUUCCCGGGCCUUGUACACACCGCCCGUCACACCAUGGGAGUUUGUAACACCCGAAGUCAGUAUCCUAACCGCGAAGGGGGAGCUGCCGAAGGUGGGAUAAGCGACUGGGGUGAAGUCGUAACAAGGUAAC